GCGCAUGCUGCCGGCCUUUGCGUCGUGCUGCGCCGACCUGGUGAGCAGAUGGGAGGGUUUGGUGGCCGCGGCCGACGACGGCGAGCCAUGCGAGGUGGACGUCUGGCCGGAGAUGCAGAGGCUGACCGGGGACGUCAUCUCGCGCGUCGCCUUCGGCAGCAGCUACCUGGAAGGCAGGAGGAUCUUCGAGCUCCAGGAGGAGCAGGUGCACCUCGCCAUGCUCGUCGCCAACAAGAUACACAUCCCUGGUUACAUGUCAGUUCGCUCUCUAGCUCUGAUCAAACCGCAUUUUAAUCAAUUUGCUUGUUAAUUGCCACGGAAAAUUGAUGCAAAAUUUUUUUGAAAUUUUCUUGCGUGUAGGAUGCUGCCUACAAGGGUGAACCGGCGGAUGAAGCGGAUCGCGGCGGAGAUCGAAGGGAUCCUGAGAGGGAUGAUCGCCACGAGGGAGAGCUCGCUGAGAGCAGGCAAGGAGACGAGCGAUGACCUUCUUGGCCUGCUGCUGGAGUCCAACAUGGAGCGUUCAGGGGCUCCGGCGGCGGCGGCGGCGGCAUGUCGACCGACGACAUCAUUGGGGAGUGCAAGUUGUUCUACUUCGCCGGAAUGGGGACCACGGCGGUGCUCCUCACGUGGACCAUGGUGGUGCUCGCCAUGCACCAGGAGUGGCAGGACCGUGCCAGGGAGGAGGUGCUCCGCGUCUUCGGCGGCGCCUGCAGAUCAGUGCCGGACUACGACGGCCUCAGCCGCCUCAAAAUCGUAACACCUUCGUCAAUUUUUGCAUAGCAGGCUCUGAAUCUUUGAUUCAUCUGUGGAAUGUGAUGGUAAUCUUAAUCGCGAUCGAUCGCCAUUUCCAGGUGACCAUGGUGUUGUACGAGGUGCUGCGGCUCUACAUGCCGGUGUCGGCGUUGCACCGGCGGACAUACAAGCCCAUGGAGCUCGGGGGUGUCAGGUACCCGGCGGGCGUGAUACUGACGCUGCCGCUGCUGAGCAUCCACCACGACAAGGACGUUUGGGGGCCUGACGCCGACGAGUUCAGGCCGGACAGGUUCGCGGAGGGAAUCGCCAGGGCGGCGUCGUCCGGCGGGGACGCGCCGCCGGCGUUCUUCCCGUUCGGCUGGGGACCUCGGAGCUGCAUCGGCCAGACCUUCGCGCUGCUGGAGGCCAAGAUAGGGCUCGCCAUGAUCCUGGGGAAGUUCGCGUUCGAGCUCUCUCCGUCGUACGCGCACGCGCCGGUCCACGUCGCCUUGGUCCAGCCAGAGCACGGCGCGCAGGUCAAGCUCAGGAAGCUCCCAUGAGCUGCCUGUUGAUCAAGCUCAAGCUUCAGGCUAAGCCAUGGUCUAUUCUGCUAGUUUUUUCUCAGUUGCGUCAUCGUGCGUGAGCCCAUGUAUGUUGUGUCUGUGUGGCAUGCUUCUCUCGCGAACUGUACUCAUGAAGGCCGUAGAACCCCGGUGAAAGGCUGACAAUGCUUCUAUAUAUGUGCACUUGCGGCGCGAUCACAUAAAUUUAGCUGUAAACUUAUUCGGUCCUAAAAUGUGACCAUGGUAUUCGUGCCGGUUAAACUUCCAUAAGAUUGACUAAAUUUGUAGAAAUUAUUUAAUAACAACAUUUGUGAGGGAUAUUUUCUAGGAUGAGGAUGCCGAAGUGAUCCUUGCCUUGCCGGUCCAUAGGUAGAGAGCUAAUACCCUAGCCUGGCAUUUCGAUAAGCAGCUUACAUCUCAAAGUAGAAACGGAGGACAAGGUGGCAGCACUAACGAUAGGAAAGGUGUUUGGAAAGAAAUCUGGAAAUUGAAAUGUCCAAAUAAAAUCAAACACUUUUUGUGGCAGUUUACUCAUAACAGCCAACCAUUAAGGUACAAUUUAUCUCGACGGGGGAUGCUGAUUGACACAAGAUGCCCGAUGUGUGGGCAAAUGACUGAAGAUGGAGGUCUCCUCUUUUUCAAAUGCAAGUUGGUAAAGCAAAUAUGGCGAAUUCUGAAUUUGGAAAAUGAACAUGAAACACUAGCUGCUAUCCCUGACACUUGCGGUGUUGUGGAAUGGAUUCUAAAACAGUGAGAACCAAAGAGAGACUUUAUGGUUAUUACUCUCAGUAUCUGAGAGGAGGGGCGUCGGAGGCCAGCCGCAGUGAUAGGCCGUUGCAUUGAGUUAUGUACGUAUGAGAAUGUGCAGCAAGUCACUAGUGGCCUGGGCCGGACGGAGCAACGCAGACAGAGGUGGGUAAGACCACCAGAAGAUGUGCUGAAGAUCAAUUGUGAUGGAUCUUUCCACCCAACUGAAAAAGUCGGUAGCUGGGGCUUUCUGAUUCGAGACAAAGAUGGUGAUGUGGUAAUGGUGGGAAGAGCCAAGAUCAACAACCUGUUGAAUGCCUUCCAAGCUGAGCUAGUCGCCUGUCUAUAGGGGAUGCAAACUGCUAUUGAUCUGGGCAUUGGACAUAUCAUCCUGGAAACUGAUGCACAUGAAAAAAGUGAGAGCUCUGAAUUCAAAAAGCAUAUGAUAGUUCUGCUGUUGGCCACCUAGUCGAGGAGAUAAAGUUCCUUUCAAGCUCAAAUGUUAUGAGUUUUGAGUGUGUUCAUGUGGAUAGAUCAUGUAAGGCCAAUUUUAUUGUAGGACACUAGAAAAAAACUAUAAUUGGCUACUGCACACCGCAAACUGCGAAAUAUGCUAGGUACCAUUAUAAAUUUGUGGUUCUUUGCCGAGACACACCAUGCUGAUUAUUUUAUUAAUUUCUCAGAUUGUAGGAGAGAGAAAGUUGGUGAAUUGUUUUCUUUGUCCCCGUCUUCAACCUCCAACACUUUGCCGAUAUUUUCCAUAGCAUGGAGGUGAGAAUCACGUCAAGAAGCAUCACACCACUUUCCAUCUCUCUUGUUUGCUCUGUUCAGCCAAAGGAGGCGUCGUUGUUGUGCAUGUAGCAAGCCACCGUAGCUAUUUUUCCACUGGCAAGAACCACAUGGAGAACCAAUGGUGUAGGCGGGCGGGUGGUUGGAGGAGGAAAUGGAUGAAUUGGCGGCAGCAGUGUGUUAUGGCAAUUGGCGGCAGCAGUGUGUUACGGCAAAUAUCAGCAAAGGGCUGGAGGUUGAAGACAAGGGCAAAGAAGACAUUUCACCAACCUUCUCUCCUAAAAUCAGAAAAAUUAAUAAAAUAAUUGACGCGGUGUGUCUCGAUAAAGAACUAAAAUGCACUGUGUAGUGGCCAAUUAUAGCUUUUUCUAGUGCCCUACGGCAAAAUUGGCCAUCAUGUAAUGAGGCCACUCACGAGCUACUUUUUUUUUUUGACAAAAAAAAGAUUGGAGGAGGAAAUGGAUGAAUUGGCGGCAGCAGUGUGUUAUGGCAAAUAUCAGCAAAGGGCUGGAGGUUGAAGACAAGGGCAAAGAAGACAUUUCACCAACCUGAUCUCUCUCAUAAAAUCUGAAAAAAUAAUAAAAUAAUCAGCGCGGUGUGUUGUGUAGUGGCCAAUUACAGUGCCUUACGGCAAAAUUGGCCAUCAUGUAAUGAGGCCACUCUCGAGCUGCCUAAAUUGGGUUAUCUCCUGAGGGUGAGGAGAUCCUUUUCUUCUCUAUACCUGAUGACAUUUGUGUAAUCGUCGAUAACGAUUUGUUAGAGCAUCUCCAACAGUUAUGCAAUUGGACUUUGCAUUUUUGAAAUUUGCUAAAAAUCUUAAAAAUUGCUCUCCAACAGUUUUGCAUUUGACUUAUGCAUUUUGGCAAACUUGGCAUUUGAUGGACCAAACUUGGUAUUUUUGCAUAGGCACAAUGGCUUGACAAUUUUGAUAUCCCGAGAAUCUUGAACUCCUUGUCGUAUCCGUACUCCCCAUGUCGCGAUAGUUUCUCACGAGACGUGUCCUCCCCGUGCGCGACUCUUUUCUUUCCCCCGCGCGCCGCCUUCUUUCAUCGCGCGGGCGAACACGGACGAACCUGGGACUGUUGCCUCGAUCGAUGAACACGGCCGCGCGACGCGCGAGAGAAUUGGCGGCGACGGGCGAAGGAAUUGUGCACGAAAAAGAAAACGCCCGCGCGAUGCGCGAGAGAAUUUCCUGCGAAGAUGAAAGAUUCCCGGACAAAAAUAGUUGGGUCUUUGGUAAAUGGCAAGUCAAAAAUGCCAAACACUUGGAGAUGAACUUAUUUUUUCUUUGGCAAAACGUUUAGGGACUUGGCAAACUCCAACAAAUGACAAAUUUCAAUUGCAUAACUGUUGAAGAUGCUCUUAGGUAAUGAUUAAUGAAUUUGCCUAGUAUAAAAAAAGCAAGUUUAUUAGGACAGAUUAGUACUAAAGAGAAAGGAACAUACUACCCUUCAUAAAGUGGAGUAGUUGCACACGGAUCAAUGAUUGUUCCUGUAACAAAUUAAUUAUAUUACUCCUUCUAUCCCAAAUUAUAAGUCAUUUCAAAAAUUUUAGAAAGUCAAAGCAUCUUAAGUUUGACUAAAAUUAUAAAAAAAAUUAUAAAAUUUUGUAACAUCAAAUAGAUAUACUACGAAAAUAUAAUUAAUGAAGAACCUAAUAAUACUUAAUUGAUAUCAUAAAUGUUAUUAUCCUACCAUACAAAUUUGGUUAAAUUUGGGAUGUUUUGAUUCUCCAAGAUUCUUGGAGUGACUUACAAUUUGGGAUGGAGGAAGUAUUUACUACACAUCCAACUGCAAAAACUCAACACUGAAUUGAGAGAUAGGAGGGUGCAGUAAAUACGAGGAGAUUUCAAAGAAAAUAAAUGGGUUGACGGACUGUUCAGCCUCAUAGAGAUUGAUCUAUUUGUAGAUAAAUUCUUGAGCUACAAAUUUAUGUAUUCAGAGAUAGAAAGAGUAUUAUAUAUGACCAUUUGAUAAUACAAAUCUAAACAUGUCAAGGUUAUAUUAUAAUAGUUAAAAUGUUAUUGACUAAAUUAUUAUAAAAAUGUAAAGUUUGAAUCUUAACAUACAUGUGCGCCAUAUAAUCUGAAUCAGAGGGUGUAUCACGUUAUAAAUCCACAGAUGAAGAGUAUCAAAUUUGAGAAUGCUUGUUCCUGGACUUCUAGAUACGAUUUCUAAAAGAUGCACUACUUCCAAAUGUAUGCAAGAGAAUUGCGUAGGACAUCACACGUUUUCAGAAUCUCCGAGGGUAUCAUCCAUUCACCGCUGGUCCAACGGUCCACGGGCGUAGUAGUGACUAGUGAGUCCCUUUCCCCUUGUCGGCCUCGAAUUGUAUCGGUGGUGGUGAAUUCGUGGAGGCAGACAUAGGCCUCGUCGGCGGCUGGUCUUCAAUUCUACUCAUGCUGGUGUAUAAUAUUAGAAACAACUCAUAGGGUUUUUUAAUAUCUAUAUAAAAAAUACUCUCGAGCAGCCUAAUUAGAUUUGUGAAUAUAUAGCUAUCAUCCAUUCUAGAUUUCUUGUUGGGAGAAGAUAAAGUACAAGACUGGUUUUCUAUAGUCCGUACAAGAUAUAGACAAGCUAUUGGUUGAUGAAAAGAUAUAUAAAAGGUUUUUUAUUUUGAUGGUUUCUAAAUGAUAAUUUAAAGAGUAACUUUCUGGGAGACACUUAUAGAUACUCACUCUCUCCAUCUUAAAAUAGAAUAAUAUUUUUUUGCUUUAUAGAUAAAAAAGAGUUUUUUUAUAACCCACUUGUUUUAUUUUAACAAAUUCUAUAUGAAGAUGUCCACUGAAGAGAAAAUAGAUCUGAUUCUCUUAGCCUUGAACUUUGGAAAUAAAAAAGAAUUUUCUCAUUUUUUAACAUUAAGAAAAAAGAAUACUUUUCUACUAAAUUCAUUCAUUUCUUUUUUGAAAUGUCUUUUUUCUGUAAUUUUAUGACUUAGUUUAGUGCGAGAUGCCUACAUUCUUUGUCUGAACACUAAACGAAGCGCAGAGUUAAAAUUACAAAAAAAAAACAGACUACAUAUCUUGUUUUUAGAAGUCAUAUAAACACUUAUGUCCUUAAAUAAAUAUCAUUAACUAUAAAACAUAUUUUCAUAAUAAAUCUAUUUGGAGCCAUAAAACUUUAUUAAUAUUCUUUUAUAAAAUUAAAGAGGUUUGGCUCAAUCUAAAUCUACAGUGAUAUAUUUCUCGAAAAAAUGUAUAUUUUCUAGACGGAGCUGGUAGUAUAUAUAUAUAUAUUUUUUUGAAAAAAUGGAGCUGGUAGUAUAUAUGACCUGCAAGUGUGACAUACAGAUCAAAGACGCUUUUUUCCCCUUGAGAGCAUGUGCUCUUAGCAUAGAUCAUUUGAUUUACAUUAAGAAGCGUGUGUGCAUACAUCUUAGUAUAGAUUUACAUUAAGAAAUAUGCACGUACAUGUUUCAAUGUAAAUCUAAUGAUCAAUGUUCUAAAACACACAUGUUCUUGAGGGCACAUUUUACUUUCCCCGUACAGUUCAUGCUCAUGCCGCUCUGCUUUUAUUCUGUCCCUUUCUCACGGAGCAAAGAUUAGUCGUCACGCGCCAGCAGGAAGACUACACGCCCUCCUCUGCCUCUAUAAGACGGCGGCGAUGGCGAGCAGCUCUUGGCGUUCGAUCUCCCCUUCCGCCGCACAGCAGUCCAGAGAGUGACGAGCCUAGUUUUCUUCGGAGCCGAGCCAUGGCGACGAGCGUGCCAGUGGGAUUGCUCGGCGAGGCUCCAUCCCCGUGGAACGUGCAGCAGCAGCUGCUGCUGCCGCCGCUGUGCGCGGCGGCCGUCGCCGUCGUCGCGUGGUGCGCCGCGCGCGCGGCGGAGUGGGCGUGGCUGAGGCCACGGCGCCUUGAACGGGCGCUGCGGGCGCAGGGCCUCCGUGGCACGGCGUACCGCCCGCUGUCCGGCGACGCGCCGCUGUCCGACCGGCUCGCCCGCGAGGCCAGGUCCAGGCCGCCGCUGCCGCCGGGCUGCCACGCCGUCGUGCCCAGGGCCAUGCCGCUCGUCCACCACGCCAUGAACGAGCACGGUAACUUCUCUCUCACUCUUCGUCGCGUUGCGUUAUCGUUGACAGUAACUGUCGACCUAGCCUUGUUUAGUUCGGCGCCUUAGGCCUUCCACCAAAAAAAUUAAAAACUUUUCAAGAUUUCUUAUCGCAUCAAAUCUUACGGCACAUGCAUUAGACAAUCUUCCAACUAUAUUAUUAAAACAAAAACUAAUUGCACAGCCUGUAAAUCGCGAGACGAAUUUUUUAAGUCUAAUUACUUCAUGAUUAGAUAAUAUUUGACAAAUAAAAACGAAAAUGCUACCGUGUCAAAAUCUAAAAACUUUUUGGGUGUAAAUAAGGCCAUAGCUUGCCGGUCUUACCACGGCAAGGAACCAACGGUCUGUGUUUCACUCUCAUGUCUCGAUCAUGAUCAUGACUGGCAGGCAAGACCUCGGUGACCUGGUUCGGCCCGACGCCGAGGGUGAUCGUCACCGAGCCGGAGCUGGUGCGCCAGGUCCUGUCCAACAAGUUCGGCCACUUCGAGAAGGCCGGCUUCGGGCAGCUCACGCGGCUGCUGCACCACGGCGUGAGCACCCACCAGGGUAGCAAGUGGGCCAAGCACCGGAGGAUCAUCAUUCAUCAACCCCGCCUUCCAUCUCGACAAGCUCAAGGUCUCAACCAGUCAACUAAACCCCUGUCCCCGAGGCAUGCAUACAUCAGGUCGUCAGAGCAUGUUCGCUUGUCUGAAAAGUCAACUAAUGUUGAGCUUUUCGAUCGAUUCUUGCAGCGCAUGCUCCCGGCCUUUGCGUCGUGCUGCGCCGACAUGGUGAGCAGAUGGGAGGGUUUGGUGGCCGCGGCCGACGACGGCGAGCCAUGCGAGGUGGAUGUCUGGCCGGAGAUGCAGAGGCUGACUGGGGACGUCAUCUCCCGCGUCGCCUUCGGCAGCAGCUACCUGGAAGGCAGGAGGAUCUUCGAGCUCCAGGAGGAGCAGGUGCACCUCGCCAUGCUCGUCGCCAACAAGAUACACAUCCCUGGUUACAUGUCAGU
rnacentral:lncRNA from 1 species